UGAACGCUAGCGGCAGGCCUAAUACAUGCAAGUCGAGGGGUAACAUGAGAGCUUGCUCUUGAUGACGACCGGCGCACGGGUGCGUAACGCGUAUGCAACCUACCCACAACUGGAGCAUAGCCCGGAGAAAUCCGGAUUAAUACUCCAUAAUGCAGGGGUACCUCAUGGUACUAUUUGCUAAAGAUUUAUCGGUUGUGGAUGGGCAUGCGUCUGAUUAGUUUGUUGGUGAGGUAACGGCUCACCAAGACCACGAUCAGUAGGGGGUCUGAGAGGAUGAUCCCCCACACUGGCACUGAGAUACGGGCCAGACUCCUACGGGAGGCAGCAGUAGGGAAUAUUGGGCAAUGGGCGAAAGCCUGACCCAGCCAUGCCGCGUGAAGGAUGAAGGCCUUCUGGGUUGUAAACUUCUUUUAUAUAGGAAGAAAAAGGUCAUGCGUGACCAAUUGACGGUACUAUAUGAAUAAGCACCGGCUAACUCC
rnacentral:rRNA from 1 species